rnacentral:rRNA from 1 species
GAUAAACGCUGGCGGCGUGCCUAAUACAUGCAAGUCGAGCGAACAGACGAGGAGCUUGCUCCUCUGACGUUAGCGGCGGACGGGUGAGUAACACGUGGAUAACCUACCUAUAAGACUGGGAUAACUUCGGGAAACCGGAGCUAAUACCGGAUAAUAUAUUGAACCGCAUGGUUCAAUAGUGAAAGACGGUUUUGCUGUCACUUAUAGAUGGAUCCGCGCCGCAUUAGCUAGUUGGUAAGGUAACGGCUUACCAAGGCAACGAUGCGUAGCCGACCUGAGAGGGUGAUCGGCCACACUGGAACUGAGACACGGUCCAGACUCCUACGGGAGGCAGCAGUAGGGAAUCUUCCGCAAUGGGCGAAAGCCUGACGGAGCAACGCCGCGUGAGUGAUGAAGGUCUUCGGAUCGUAAAACUCUGUUAUUAGGGAAGGACAAAUGUGUAAGUAACUAUGCACGUCUUGACGGUACCUAAUCAGAAAGCCACGGCUAACUACGUG